rnacentral:tRNA from 1 species
GGAUUGUGGCUCAGUGGUAGACUGCUGGCCUAGUAUGUGAGAGGCGCUGGGUUCGAUCCUCAGCACCA